rnacentral:misc_RNA from 1 species
AAGUCGUAACAAGGUUUCCGUAGGUGAACCUGCGGAAGGAUCAUUAACACGUAUCCAACGUUAAACAACCCUGUGAACUUUCCUCUUGUAGCCCCGGAGGAACAGCAAUCCCGGUAAAUCAAAUGGCGGAAAGAGUUUUGAUUCGGGACCUCUGUCCAAAAGGUAUCAAGUUACACGGUUGCCAGAGGUCGAUCACCGGCCGGCAGACAUGUCACAGGGCUUUACGCCCCUUCAUUCACCCCUUGCCUAAUCAAGCCUCGCGGAAACGCCGGGCAUAAAAACCGAACAACUGUUAACAAUGGAUAUCUUGGUUCUC